CCUACGGGCGGCAGCAGUGGGGAAUAUUGGGCAAUGGGCGCAAGCCUGACCCAGCAACGCCGCGUGAAGGAAGAAGGCUUUCGGGUUUUAAACUUCUUUUGACAGGGAAGAGCAGAGGACGGUACCUGUCGAAUCAGCCACGGCUAACUACGUGCCAGCAGCCGAGGUAAUACGUAGGUGGCAAGCGUUGUCCGGAUUUACUGGGUUUAAAGGGCGUGUAGCCGGGCUGACAAGGCAGGUGUGAAAUCCGGGGGCUCAACCCCCGAACUGCAUUUGAAACUGUGGUUCUUGAGUAGCGGAGAGGCAGGCGGAAUGCCUAGUGUAGCGGUGAAAUGCGUAGAUAUUAGGAGGAACACCAGUGGCGAAGGCGGCCUGCUGGACGACAACUGACGGUGAGGCGCGAAAGCGUGGGGAGCAAACAGGAUUAGAUACCCCUGUAGUC
rnacentral:rRNA from 1 species